rnacentral:lncRNA from 1 species
GCCCCCAGCCCUUCCAGGCGGCCGAGAACGCGCCUGCCCUGCCCGCCCCUUUCAGGGCCGCGGGAGCGCGCCUGUCGCGCCCCUGUCCCGCCCCACGCCCUUCAGGGAGGGCCUGCAGCCCGCGCCCACAAGCCCGGCGCCUCAGGGCCGCACGAGCGGCUCCAGCGUUUCAAUUCUGCCGCCAUCUUUUGGGCAGCCAACUUCCCAGCCUGCCUCACGCUCAAGCAGAUUAGGCUCAGGCCGCCAAGAAACGGUGGGCGGGGCCGGCGGGAGGGGCGGGGCCUGUGGGAAGAAAAGCACCAAAAUCAUUUACGACAUCUGCUCCUCGCGACUAGAAGCAAGCCUCUAGUAAAAUGUGUUCUUGACUGCAGUACCCCCUUCACUGAAAUCAAAACAACCCGAGGGCGCAGCUAACCCGCCCCCGGCCCCGCCCCGGCGCCCUCGUGACGUCAUCCCCCAGGGCCGCUCGGCGCCGCCGAUCACUUGGAGCCACGUGCGGCCGCCGGCGGGCUGCGUAGUGACGCAGGCGCGAGACUGUGCGGUGGCAGCCAUGGCGGACGGCUGCGAUGAGGCUGCUCCUGGGUCUCGCGGCUAUCCAAGACCAUCGAGGGUCCCCGGCGGCGCCUGCCGUCUGCUGAGGCUGGGUGGACUCCUCUGCGGCAGAUCUCCUGUAAGAUGUGCUGGUUAAGGCUUCUGGCAGAUUCGGGUCAGUCCCAAGUGCGACCGGUCUUCUGGGGCUGCCGUCCGCAGACCCUUCUCGCAUCCACGUACCUGGCGGCCUCCCUCAUCGCGUGCUGUUGGUAGGGGGGCGAGUCAGGCCCUGUACACGUCCUGACAGGCACCCGGCCCACCCCCAGCCAACUGUGCGCUGUGUUCCUGCCCCAGCACGAGACCUGUGGGGUGUCCGCGGCAGAAGAUGUCAGAGCUGGAAGAGACCUGAGAGGCGAUCCCCUUGGUGGGUGAUGGUUCUUCCGGGAAUCUGGUGGUUUGCGCGCCUUGUCGUCUGCUUCCAGAACAAGGAUCUUCGCUGUAUGCCAAGACCCAGACCCCUCUGACAUCGGAAUGACAAGUGGGAUAUUUAAUAAAACAGUUUCAAAUUUGGAGUC